GACGAACGCUGGCGGCGUGCUUAACACAUGCAAGUCGAACGGAGUGGCGAACGGGUGAGUCACACGUGGGUGACCUGCCCUGCAUUUCGGGAUAAGCCAGGGAAACUGGGUCUAAUACCGAAUAGUGUGGGCUGGUCCCGCGGCCUAUCAGCUUGUUGGUGGGGUAAUGGCCUACCAAGGCGGCGCCGGGUAGCCGGCCUGAGAGGGUGGCCGGCCACAGUGGGACUGAGUCACAGCCCAGACUCCUACGGGAGGCAGCAGUGGGGAAUAUUGCACAAUGGGCGGAAGCCUGAUGCAGGGACGCCGCGUGGGGGAUGACGGCCUUCGGGUUGUAAACUCCUUUCACCAUCGACGCGGUAGAUGGUGAAGAAGCACCGGCUAACUACGUGCCAGCAGCCGCGGUAAUUC
rnacentral:rRNA from 1 species